UAAAUUGGCCCUUGGCCGGCCACUCCCUCCUCCUUUGGUCAUUUUUCUCACACUCCACUCCCUCACACUCUCCUCUACCUCUCCCCCACGAAAAUGCUGCUGCCCCUUGCUCCCAUGGCCGGCCAUGGCCAUGGAAGGCACUCCAAGAUGAAGCUCCCUCCUCCCUCAAGCUCCUCCUCACCAUGAGAGCCUCCCUCUCCUUCUUCUCCCCAACCCUAGAUGGUUUUCUCUCCUCUUCCUCUUCCUCCAUUGCUAAGAUUGGAUCUUGAUGCAGGUGCAUGUUGUUCCAAGCAUGGAGAAGCUUGAGCUAUCCUUAGAUCUGAAGUUCUUGAGCAAAGUUCGUCCAAAUCCUUGCAGUAAUUUCUGCUAUCUUGCUGUUUCAGAUUCUGGUACGAACUUGUAAAAUCCACCAAAUCUCGUGCGCAGAUCCAAAUCGAGUGAUUCAAAGUUCCGCAGAUAGAUACGGAAAAGAUCUACAACUUGGCGUUGGUCUCAUCCUCAAAUUCGUUACGGAUUGUCCGUGUUCAAGAUCUGGUCAGAUCUGACUUUGUCGAAUUAAACCAGGAGCUUGGGAACGAAUGUUUGAAUGAAACCAAUUGGGGGAUGUUGGGUUAUACCAUGGUGAUAACCGAGAGAGGCAAUUUCUAAGUUGUGAUACUCUCAUACCUUUACUAGACGCGAGCAAUUCCGGAGAAGAAGAAGAAGUGGAAUUGGACAAGGAUUUUAUUUAUAUUGUUGGGAUUCUUAUAUUGAUAGAGUUGAAGAAGUACAGGGACAAAUAAGCCAAG